rnacentral:ncRNA from 1 species
GGCUUACGGUAGAUACCUAGGCACUAAAGAUGAGGAAGUGCAUCGUAGUAAGGGACAAAAAGGGCUCGGGAAGUUAAAAACAAGCAUAGAUCCGAAGAUUCACGAAUAAGUAAACCUCUCAAACUACUGUUGCAUCCAUGGGCAGGCAAACAUCUUAGUAACCGAAGGAAAAGAAGGCAAAAGCGAUUCUCGUAGUAGCGGCGAGCAAAAUGGGAGUAGCCUAAACCAUGUAAUAUAAGCAUCAUGCUGCUAGGCAAAGCGGUGGAGUGUUGCACCCUAGAUAGUGAGAGUCCAAUAAUCGAAAGCAUCACUAGCUUACGCUAUGACCUAAGUAGUAUGAGGCAUGUGGAAUCCGGUGUGAGUUAGCAAGGACCAUUUUGCCAAGCUAAAUACUCUUAGGUGAUUGAUAACGAAGUAAUACUGUGAGGCAAGAGCGAAAGAAUCCUCAUAAAGGAAUGAAACAUAACAUGAAACCAUAAGCU